rnacentral:rRNA from 1 species
GUCGCACGAGAAAGGGUAGCAAUACCUGAGUAAAGUGGCGCACGGGUGAGUAACACGUGAAUAAUCUACCUCCGAGUGGGGAAUAACUGAGAGAAAUCUUAGCUAAUACCGCAUAACACUUACGAGUCAAAGCAGCAAUGCGCUUGGAGAGGAGUUCGCGGCAGAUUAGUUAGUUGGCGGGGUAAUGGCCCACCAAGACGAUGAUCUGUAUCCGGCCUGAGAGGGCGCACGGACACACUGGAACUGAAACACGGUCCAGACUCCUACGGGAGGCAGCAGUGGGGAAUUUUGCGCAAUGGGGGAAACCCUGACGCAGCAACGCCGCGUGGAGGAUGAAAUCCCUUGGGAUGUAAACUCCUUUCGAUAGGGAAGA